rnacentral:rRNA from 1 species
CCCUUUGUGAACUUAUACCUUACUGUUGCCUCGGCGCAGGCCGGCCUCUUAGCUGAGGCCCCCCGGAGACGGGGAGCAGCCCGCCGGCGGCCAACCAAACUCUUGUUUCUACAGUGAAUCUCUGAGUAAAAAACAUAAAUGAAUCAAAACUUUCAACAACGGAUCUCUUGGUUCUGGCAUCGAUGAAGAACGCAGCGAAAUGCGAUAAGUAAUGUGAAUUGCAGAAUUCAGUGAAUCAUCGAAUCUUUGAACGCACAUUGCGCCCUCUGGUAUUCCGGAGGGCAUGCCUGUUCGAGCGUCAUUUCAACCCUCAAGCCUGGCUUGGUGUUGGGGCACUGCUUCGAGAGAAGCAGGCCCUGAAAUCUAGUGGCGAGCUCGCUAGGACCCCGAGCGUAGUAGUUAUAUCUCGUUCUGGAAGGCCCUGGCGGUGCCCUGCCGUUAAACCCCCAACUUCUGAAAUUUUGACCUCGGAUCAGGUAGGAAUACCCGC